ACACAUCCCAUCAGAGCUCGCAGGGACACAUCCCACCAGAGCUCGCAGGGACACAUCCCACCAGAGCUCGCAGGGACACAUCCCACCAGAGCUCACAGGGACACAUCCCACCAGAGCUCACAGGGACACAUCCCACCAGAGCUCGCAGGAACACAUCCCACCAGACCUCACAGGGACACAUCCCACCAGAGCUCACAGGGACACAUCCCACCAGAGCUCCGAGGGACACAUCCCACCAGACCUCACAGGGACACAUCCCACCAGAGCUCACAGGAACACAUCCCACCAGAGCUCGCAGGGACACAUCCCGUCAGAGCUCGCAGGAGCAGGGACACAUCCCGUCAGUCAUUAAGCAUCUCACAAGGGUGAGAUUCCGGUCCUGCUGAACAACUUGCAGCAGGAGAUGAAGUACAUGCAGGGGCAGCUCAAUACCAGGAUAUCAUCCCUGCGCAGAGGGUGGGCAUCCCUACAACCCUCCCAACAGUCAGUGUCCCUGUGACCAAUGCAAUGUUCCAACACCAUCUCCUAUCACCCCCAUGGUGGGACCAACGUGGAAUGGUGGAGUGAAUACCACAUGUGGAGAUUUCUACUGCAAGAGAAAGGAUAUCCAGAGUAGAUGUGGUGGAUUGUUCCAUAAUGACCAUCACCGAGGCCAACCCUCAGAGCCAGACUGGCAGCCGGCUGGGGGCUGAGCCUGAGACCCCUGCUGUAGCGCUUCAGAACAGUGGAGGAUGGCUCAGCUGGAUCUUCAGGAGAGGAAAGGAGAUUCAUCUAUCUGAUGAGAAAGACAACUCUGUAUGGAACCUGUUUAAAUAUUCUAUGUAGACACAAAACUGACCCCCAG